UACAGAGGUCUCAAGCGUUGUUCGGAUUCAUUGGGCGUAAAGGGUGCGUAGGCGGCGCGGUAAGUCGGGUGUGAAAUCUCGGAGCUUAACUCCGAAACUGCAUUCGAUACUGCCGUGCUUGAGGACUGGAGAGGAGACUGGAAUUUACGGUGUAGCGGUGGAAUGCGUAGAUAUCGUAAGGAAGACCAGUGGCGAAGGCGGGUCUCUGGACAGUUCCUGACGCUGAGGCACGAAGGCCAGGGGAGCAAACGGG
rnacentral:rRNA from 1 species